rnacentral:rRNA from 1 species
ACUGUGAACUUUAUAUACUAUUCGUGUUGAUUGUUUGAUGUUUAUAGUCAUCCAAUUAAACACUGUCAUUCGUUGAACAUUAGAUAGCUGGCUUUGUUGAAUGAAUUCAACAUUUCUCAGCUGAUUUGUUGUAUAGACUAAACAUCUUACAAACAAUCACCAAAACAUAGAAACAACUCUAUGCCCUGGAUAUUUUGGUUCUCGCACCGAUGAAGAACGCAGCGAAAUGCGAUAUGUCAUGCGAAUUGCAGAAUUCAGUGAAUCAUCGAAUCUUUGAACGCAAAUUGCAGUCAUGGGAUAGCCCUAUGACUACGCUUCCGGGAGUAUCGGUUUUCUAUCUAGAGCAUCUUUCUUUAUAGAUUGAGUUGGUUCUAAGAGUGAGAGUCUGAUUGUAUAUAUUUACAGUGAGUCUCUUGAAAGAUAGUGAAUUUCUUGCAUUAUACUUUUUUGUAUAAUCUUGAUCCUGUGAAACUCAAACAACUUUAUGUUGUGCCCCUUUCCUAUGCCUCUAUUUGUUUCUGUUGUAUCAAAUUGAUGUGAAAUAUUCUAUUUACACUCUUGGUCUUCAUGUCAGAUAGAUGACUUGUUUACGAUAAGCUAUAUGCUUUUUGUCACACUUGUUAUUGUAUCGAUGAGUUCCUGUAUAUGAGUGUUUAUUGUUUAUUUUGCUA